GAGACUUUGCAGAGAUGCUUUGGUGCCUUCGGGAACUCUGAGACAGGUGCUGCAUGGCUGUCGUCAGCUCGUGUUGUGAAAUGUUGGGUUAAGUCCCGCAACGAGCGCAACCCUUAUCCUUUGUUGCCAGCGGUUAGGCCGGGAACUCAAAGGAGACUGCCAGUGAUAAACUGGAGGAAGGUGGGGAUGACGUCAAGUCAUCAUGGCCCUUACGAGUAGGGCUACACACGUGCUACAAUGGCGCAUACAAAGAGAAGCGACCUCGCGAGAGCAAGCGGACCUCAUAAAGUGCGUCGUAGUCCGGAUUGGAGUCUGCAACUCGACUCCAUGAAGUCGGAAUCGCUAGUAAUCGUAGAUCAGAAUGCUACGGUGAAUACGUUCCCGGGUCUUGUACCACACCGAA
rnacentral:rRNA from 1 species